rnacentral:rRNA from 1 species
AGUGAACGCUGGCGGUAGGCCUAACACAUGCAAGUCGAACGGCAGCACAGUAAGAGCUUGCUCUUACGGGUGGCGAGUGGCGGACGGGUGAGGAAUACAUCGGAAUCUACUUUUUCGUGGGGGAUAACGUAGGGAAACUUACGCUAAUACCGCAUACGACCUACGGGUGAAAGCAGGGGAUCUUCGGACCUUGCGCGAUUGAAUGAGCCGAUGUCGGAUUAGCUAGUUGGCGGGGUAAAGGCCCACCAAGGCGACGAUCCGUAGCUGGUCUGAGAGGAUGAUCAGCCACACUGGAACUGAGACACGGUCCAGACUCCUACGGGAGGCAGCAGUGGGGAACAUUGGACAAUGGGCGCAAGCCUGAUCCAGCCGUACCGCGUGGGUGAAGAAGGCCUUCGGGUUGUAAAGCCCUUUUGUUGGGAAAGAAAAGCAGCAGGUUAAUACCCCGCUGUUCUGACGGUACCCAAAGAAUAAGCACCGGCUAACUUCGUG